GCAAGACAGCUCAUUUGGUGGAGCAUGAGACUUUUAAUCUCAAAGUCGUGGGUUCGAGUCCCACGUUGCG